rnacentral:misc_RNA from 1 species
AUUAGCCUGGCAAGACCAAAAUCAGAUAUUUUAGGCUCAAAAUCUGCAUCCAACAAGAUGCAUUUAGAGCUUAUAUUUCGGUGGAUGAUACGGGGAUUACAGUUAUGAUGGAGCCAUGCAAAUCCCCGAGCUGCUCUUAUACCAAUUUUGAGCCUUAGAGGCCACUCCAUAGGCUUCUUACCUUCAUCUACGGUAUGUAGAUUAUCAUGCAGGGUACCAUUUGGCAUAUACCUAUAAACUAAAAGCCUUUCCUUAUUAGCCAUGCAGAAACCCAAAAGGGGAACCAAAUUAGGAUGUUUCACACUCCCCAGAGUAGACAUUUCAGAUACAAAUUCUUUUGCAGAGUGCUGUGAAUCCUGCAAUCUCUUCACCAUUAGAAAAGUGCCAUCCUCAAGCACUGCUUUGUACAUAGUCCCUGUUCUUCCUGACCCAAUGAUAUUGUCUUUGUUGAAGCUGUUAGUAGCCUUCAU